rnacentral:rRNA from 1 species
GAUGAACGCUGGCGGCAUGCCUUACACAUGCAAGUCGAACGGCAGCACGGGAGCAAUCCUGGUGGCGAGUGGCGAACGGGUGAGUAAUAUAUCGGAACGUGCCCAGUCGUGGGGGAUAACGUAGCGAAAGCUACGCUAAUACCGCAUACGAUCUAUGGAUGAAAGCGGGGGAUCGCAAGACCUCGCGCGAUUGGAGCGGCCGAUAUCAGAUUAGGUAGUUGGUGAGGUAAAGGCUCACCAAGCCGACGAUCUGUAGCUGGUCUGAGAGGACGACCAGCCACACUGGGACUGAGACACGGCCCAGACUCCUACGGGAGGCAGCAGUGGGGAAUUUUUGGGACAAUGGGCGCAAGCCUGAUCCAGCAAUGCCGCGUGCAGGAUGAAGGCCUUCGG